rnacentral:sRNA from 1 species
CUGCUAGCCCUGAAGUCCUCUGUCUAUCAGCAGAGCAGGUACAGCAUGGGGAGCGCACAAGCUCCAAUGCUCUGCCCACAAAAGUGCCCCAGAAGGACUACUAGAGGUGAGAGGAUAGGUCUGUCUUCAUGGCCAUCCAGUCCUUGGCCUCU